AAUUUCUAACGUGUACAAUAACGAAGCCAGAUUGCGAUCGUGAUGAACUCAUCUUACAAUAACGUUUUUAAAAACACGCUAUCAGUGGAGUGCAACACAGACACGUUUUUACAUAAGCACGCUGAACAAAUCGUGAGCGGCGUUCUGUACCUGGCUCUGUUUCAUCUAACGUUUUAAUGUCGAAGUAUUUUUAUCGACAAUCACUCAUCGAACCGAAUGCCAUUGAAGUAAGCGAGAAAAAAACUCCUAAAGUAGAAGCUCGUUGGCUGAAUAAGAAGCUACUUGAGGCGGCACCAUUCUCAGAUGGAUAGUCGCAGUUAACAACACCAAUAGUCGCAGAGAGAGCAGCAAAACGGACAACCGCCCAAGCCGUCUCCUAGUGUCUGACCCAGAAACAGCAACAGCAACGAAGAGGGCAAACGCAGCAGCAAUUGCGUCACAUAGACAAAUCCCAUUUUUUUUUUUAUUGUUUUGUUUGGCCACCUAAGUCUUCGUUCGCCUCGCAAGAGGCAAGAUACGUUUGGAGUGGGAGGGGGGGGGUUUUUUUCACCUCUUGUAUUUCUCGAAUGGUUGCUGGUGUCCUUCCCCUUGAACCACCGGUUGUUGAGUUUCGGCAUUGCCUACGGCGCGCUACUCUCCCUGAUGAUACUGUUACUGGGUUGCUACAGGCUUUUGAUGUACCGCCUGGUGGGGCUUAAGCGCGCAGGGAAAUUACGUCAGCCCGCGAGUUGAUUCCGCUUAAAAUUAUCGAUUCCUUAGGGAGAAGAUGUAAGACAGGCUAGCCUGGUUGGUUGUAAAGAAUCUGAAAAAAAACGGUCUACUGCGCAUAGUAGUGCUGCCAUUGCUAUGGCACAGCGACAGCAGUAACGAUUGUGGGUGAUAGAAGACGUGGGGCGAGGAGGUACAGCUGGGGAUGUCGUUCGUUUUCUACAAUCGAGAACUUCGUCAGCCAGCGCAGCUUGUCUCGCAUUGGCGGCAUCGAGGCAAGACAGAAAAAAACAAAGAAGGUGGCAUCGCAUUCCCUCUGCACGGGGUAGAUGUUGUUCCGGCGGGCAGAAACGUAGGAAAAACCCUGUUCGCCGCGAAGAUAUAAUUGCGCCCUUUACGUCUUCCGGGGUAGUCGAAUCAGAUCUGGGUACCGGGCAAGGUAGACAUCUUUGUUCAAGAAGAUCUUAAUCAAGCAACUUCUAACAGCAGCCCAGUUUAACUACACUACGAAAAACCCACUACCGCAGCGCGUGAAUCCUCCGCGUGUUUCGAGUCGAG